rnacentral:lncRNA from 1 species
AAACGGCAGCAGCUGGGACUCUGUGCUGUGGCAGCCUAAGUGAACCUCUUCACGGGCUAAUGACAAUUGCAGGCAUUGUUGGGCUGUGUCCUAAGGUGAAUCAACAUGAAGAAAAGCCCUGGCUGCUCGUGCACUGAUAACUUCAUCUUUUCAGACAUCUGGGAAUUACCACCACAAUGUCUGGAAAAAAAUGACUUCACACUAAUGCAGCAGAGGCAAACCAUGGUUUGGCCAAAAACGGAACAGAAUUUACAAGGGAAAAGGGAAGUUCCUGGAGUAAUAUGGUCAGGUGAGGAUGGAACUGGUGAAUGAGCAGAGGAGAAGGGUGGAAGAGUGCAGUGGUGAUGACAGCCCUCCGCUGCUCCUUCCCCAGAGGAAGGAGCUCCAAGUUUAUUCACCCCUCUUUUACCAUGAGGCAGAGGGAAAACAAUGACAAACAUACAGUAAACUUCAUUAUCAACAAACAGAAGUUGUUACCAAGGCAACAGAAC